CCUACGGGGGGCAGCAGGCGCGAAACCUUCGCACUGCGCGAAAGCGCGACGAGGGGAGACCGAGUGCCUCUCCUUUUUUGGGGAGGCUUUUCACAAGCCUAAAAAGCUUGUGGAAUAAGGGCUGGGCAAGACGGGUGCCAGCCGCCGCGGUAAUACCCGCAGCUCAAGUGGUGGUCGCUUUUAUUGAGCCUAAAACGUUCGUAGUCGGCUUUGUAAAUCCUUGGGUAAAUCGGGCCGCUCAACGGUUCGAAUUCUGAGGAGACUGCAAAGCUAGGGACCGGGCGAGGUCAGAGGUACUUUCGGGGUAGGAGCGAAAUCCUGUAAUCCCGAAGGGACCACCUGUGGCGAAAGCGUCUGACUUGAACGGCUCCGACGAUGAGGAACGAAGGCUAGGGGAGCAAACCGGAUUAGAUACCCGGGUAGUCCUAGCUGUAAACUCUGCCCGCUUGGUGUGGCCUGUUCUUCGGGAGCAGGCUGUGCCGGAGCGAAGGUGUUAAGCGGGCUGCUUGGGGAGUACGGCCGCAAGGUUGAAACUUAAAGGAAUUGGCGGGGGAGCACCGCAACGGGAGGAUGCGUGCGGUUUAAUUGGAUUCAACGCCGGAAAACUCACCUGAGGCGACCAGCGUAUGUGUGUCAGGCUGAAGACCUUACUCGAACAAAAGCUGGAGAGGUGGUGCAUGGCCAUCGUCAGCUCGUACCGUAGGGCAUUCACUUAAGUGUGAUAACGAGCGAGACCCCCAUCCCUAGUUGCCAACUUUUCCGAAGGGAAAGGUGCACUCUAGGGAGACCGCUUCUGCUAAAGAAGAGGAAGGAGGGGUCGACGGUAGGUCAGUAUGCCCCGAAUCCUCAGGGCUACACGCGCGCUACAAAGGACAGGACAAUGGGUUCCAACCCCGAAAGGGGAAGGUAAUCCCAAAACCUGUUCGUAGUCCGGAUUGAGGGCUGUAACUCGCCCUCAUGAAGAUGGAUUCCGUAGUAAUCGCGGAUCAACAGUCCGCGGUGAAUAUGCCCCUGCUCCUUGCACACACCGCCCGUC
rnacentral:rRNA from 1 species